CAAAUUUGUGAAUGGCCUGCUGAAACUGUACUGGUCUAAGAAGGGAGCUCUUGGUGAGGAGAUGGAAGACCUCCUGGAUAAACUUGAUGAACAGACAUCCAACACUGUGUCCAACGGGCACUGAGAGGCCUGCCCAUUUUCCUCAAGAGAAGAUGCAACAGAGGUUUUCCUGAAGUGCUUAGACACUGACAUUUUGGAACCAGUGUUGAACGGUGCAUCAGUUGCCAUCCUCACCAUCCUACAAGAUGACGAUGCUGAUACGUCUGUGCGAGAACAUGCAGUUGUGUUGGAAGGGGACAUCGUGCUACAUAACAUUCCAGAUCUCUCUACUGCCCUGGCACACCUCUUUGGCCUUCUGUAUGCCCUCAACAUUGAUUAUCCAAAGCAGAUGAGUUUUACCUUUGAAGCAAUUCAGGCCAUCUUAUUUUGGCCUGGUCGGACAAUAUGAAGGUGAAGUGGAUAAAUCAUUAUUCGAAAUGUAAAUUUUAGUCAGAUGAAUCUGUAUUGUUGAGAAUAUAUGGUGAAAAUUUGUCUUGUAGUAUUGUAAAAGAUUUGUUAUAGUGUUAGUUUCCUCUUCAUUGAUGGUAACAUUUCUAAUAACUUUUAACUUCCGUAGUUCAUCAUAGUAAGCCUGUGUAAAAUGUCAAUGUCUGGGUACAUAGGCAAUCGUUUGUGGCACUACCCUAUUUAAUGUGCAAUAGUUAUGUUCAGCUUUUACAAGACGGUCAGGGUGUGUGUGCGUGAAUUAUUAAGUUGCUGGACACUUUUCUUUUUUGGUUCUGGACUGUGGAAUUUUAACAUCUCUGCUGGGGUGCUCAAAGCACCCAAAAGAAACUGGCAACAUGC